UGUAGGUGCGCCCACUCUUACCUCAGUAUCGCCCGUUCCGCACCUGGUCAGGCCGCGGACCCAGCUCCACCAACCCAUAACUUCCCAGCUAUGCAAAAACCCCUCCACUGUAACUCGAGUAAAUUCACCGAACCAGUUAACCUACAAACCCGAGUAUCUUUGGACUGUGGAUGAAACCAGGGUCACGGAUUCCUCCCUUACAGACGGCGCUGAAGUUGAAUUCUGAACGCUGGAACGCGUGACCGGCAAUGGCGCUACGGUGGCGCCCAGCGGAUUGGAGUUAGGACUGGCUUGGGCAAAGAAGACAGAGGGUGGAGCGGUGCUGUUCUGACCGGAGGUCUGCGCCGAUGCUGUUCGACACUGGGACCUGUUGUUAGUGAUCUUCAUACGUGACUUGCAGGUUGGCUGGCUAAUAAAUUUGCUGACUGCAUGAGGAAUUGGUGGAUCUGUGGUAAGUGAGGAAGGUUCUCAAAGGUUCUCCAACGUUCAAUCAGUUGGAGAGAGAAGUGGGAGAUGGAGUUUAACCUGGACAGGUGUGAUAUAUUGCACGUUAGCAGGUCAGAUGUUCGAGGGAAGUCUGCAGUAAGUGGCAGGACCCUGGGGAGCAUUGAUAUACAGCGGUAUCUUGGGUUGCAAGUCCACAGGUCCCUGAAAGAAGCAUCACGUGGAUGGUGUACUUGCUGUUGUCGACGAGGGCACUGACUACGAGAAUUGGGAACUCAUGGGGCAACUGCGUGAAGCUUUGCUAAGGCCGCAUUUGGGGUACUGGGUCCGUGUGCAGUUCCGCUCAGUGUGUUACGGGAAGGGUGUGGGGGCUUCGGAGAGCUUGUAAAAGAAGUUCACCUGGAUUAAGGAGCAUUAGUACGUGGAGAGGUUAGAUCGUGCGAAUUGUACCAUUUGCAGUCCCGGAGGCUGAGGGGUGACUGAGAGAAGAAGGAGAUUACCGGAACCUCCCAACAACCUCUCACCCAAUGCCAGAGGGCGAAGGUUAAAGGAAAGUUACAAGAUAAGAUAUAAACACUGGAGAUUCUGCAGAUGCAGGAAACCCAGAGCAUCAAAUAUGAAACACUGGAGGAACUCAGCAGGUCAGGCAGCAUCUAGGAAAGGAAUAAACUAAGGUCAGGACUUUGGGUUUUGGCCCUAAACGUCAACUGUGUAUUCCUCUCCAUAGAUGCUGCCUGACCUGCUGAGUUCCUCCAGCAUGUUGUGUUCGAUGCAGAACCGUUUUUCUUUCAGCACAGACAGUGUAUGUGCCUGGAAUGUGUUGUCAGCCGAGGUGAUACGAUACUGCAUAUAGUGACAUUUAAGAGGCAGGUGAACAGUCAGGGGAACUUCACUCUCCGAUCUCUUGCCCUGAUACGAUGAAGAGUCAAUGCAGGCCCGAGGAACAGAAUGCUUCAGUCACCCAGCGUGCAAACAGGUCCUUUGCCUUUAAUCCAGGACGUUUAUCUGAGCUAGGCCCCAUUUGCUGGAUUUCGGCCCUUCUCCAUAAACCUUUCCCAUCCAUGUUCCUGUCCAAGGGUUUAUUUACUGGCAUCCCUUCCACGAGCUCUGACUACACCUCACUGCCGCAGGAAGGCAGCCAGCAGAGUCCAGGGCACCUCCCAUCCUGGCCACUCUCUCCUCUCCCCUCUCAGACAGAAGAUACAAAAAUAUACAGAUGGCAGACUCAAAUACACAGAAGUAAUAACACAUGUUGAAUCAGGCAUCAUCUAUCGAGUUGAACUGGAAAAGUUGAGUACGGGCCAAAUUGAGAUGGUGGGGCAGCGGAAGAGUGUAUCCAAGUGGCAGGGGCCGGGGCUGAGAGCAAAGUCCAGGUGAUUUAAGCACCAGGCCAGGUUGAAAAGGACAGGGCAUUGGGGCCGGGGGCGAGGGAUGGGCCGGAGGUGAAGGACAGGCUGGGGGCGAGGGUUGGGCCGGGGGUGAGGGACAGGCUAGGGCAGGCAUGGGAAAACUACGGCCCGGGGGCCAUAUGCGGCCCGUUAAGCUUUUUAAUCCGGCCCGCAGAACUUGAUGAAAUUAUAUUAAUAAACCUUGUUAACGUUUUUUCCCCACAAUUCUGGUGUUUUCCUAAUAGAUGACGCACUCUAUAUACAUUGACCUUUGUUGAGGUGCAGCGUAUUACUCCACAUUUGCGCUUUACUCUUUGUUCGGCUCGACCUAUUUGUGUGAACAGGCGUUCAGCGUCAUGAACAUCAACAAAGCCAGCCACAGAUCCAAGUUAACUGACCAACACCUCAGAUCCAUCCUGGGAAUCGCCACAACAAAACUAAAUCCAGACUUUGAUGCGCUGGCUGAAAAGGGAGACCAACAACACUGUUCCCACUGAAAUUAAAAAUAAGUUUCUUCGUUGUGUUAUGUAAAAAAUGCAUUUGAAAAUAUUUUUUAAAAUAAGCCUUACAUGUUACAUGUCAUUCCUGUUAAGUGAGGGACAUGAGUAGUGUGCAGGUGCACGUACGUUCUCAAAAUAAAAAAUGCGAUCCAGAUCAAAUAACGCGCUCCGCAUACUGGUGCGCUGUCACUGUUCUGUCCUUGUGCUGGUCGUUGUUGAGUUUUGGCACAGGGGACAAUUGAAUAAGAAGGAGCAGGACAAGUAGACCUGCAUCUCCUACCGUUUUUGAACUACCUGACUGGAGGAGAGUGAUGAUAAUAAUAUCUUGAAGGAUAACAGAAUUUUCAGUGCUUUAAAAUAAUAACUGUUACUAUUAAAAAAAGCUGUGUUUUAUUCAUUUAAUUUUCAGUGUUUUAAAAGUCAUUUCAAUAAAUAGCUAAAUCCCAUGGGACUUCAAAGACAGGUAUUUUGUUGUAAUGCACCUUACCCCUGACGUCUCCUCUGUACCUACUUCCAAGCACCUUAAAACUGUGCUCAUUUGCUGUUUGAUGGACUCCUUCUGUUUUAAUGGGAUCUAUUGUGUUUGUUUAAGAAGAUGAAUCUCAAGGUUGUAUAAGGUAUACAUCCUUCGAUAAUAAAUGCACUUUGA